rnacentral:rRNA from 1 species
GACGAACGCUGGCGGCGUGCCUAAUACAUGCAAGUAGGACGCAGUUGCGAACGGGAGAGUAAAGCGUAGGUAACUACCUAUUAGAGGGGGACAACUAUUGGAAACGAUAGCUAAUACCGCAUCCUAGUAGAUGGACCUGCUUUGUAUGAGCUAGUAGGUAGGGUCAUGGCCUACCUAGGCAACGAUACAUAGCCGACCUGAGGGGGUGAGGUGCCACACCUGGGCCGGUGAACGGCCCGGACGCAUACGGGAGGCAGCAGUAAGUAAUCUUCGGGCAUGGGGUGAACCAUGACCGAGCAAGGCCGCGGGAGUGAAGAAGGUUUUCGUAUCGUAACGCUCUGUUGUUAAGGAAGCGGUACUUAACCAGAAAGGGACGGCUAACUACGUGCCAGCAGCCGCGGUAAUAC